UACGUAGGGGGCUAGCGUUGUCCGGAUUUAUUGGGCGUAAAGAGCUUGUAGGCGGUCUGUCGCGUCUGCUGUGAAAAUCCGGGGCUCAACCCCGGACUUGCAGUGGGUACGGGCAGACUAGAGUGUGGUAGGGGAGACUGGAAUUCCUGGUGUAGCGGUGAAAUGCGCAGAUAUCAGGAGGAACACCGGUGGCGAAGGCGGAUCUCUGGGCCGUAACUGACGCUGAGGAGCGAAAGCGUGGGGAGCGAACAGG
rnacentral:rRNA from 1 species